rnacentral:rRNA from 1 species
UCCUCCCUCUUUCUUCGUGCUUAACACAUGCAAGUCGAACGGAAAGGCCCUGCUUUUGUGGGGUGCUCGAGUGGCGAACGGGUGAGUAACACGUGAGUAACCUGCCCUUGACUUUGGGAUAACUUCAGGAAACUGGGGCUAAUACCGGAUAGGAGCUCCUGCUGCAUGGUGGGGGUUGGAAAGUUUCGGCGGUUGGGGAUGGACUCGCGGCUUAUCAGCUUGUUGGCGGGGUAGUGGCUUACCAAGGCUUUGACGGGUAGCCGGCCUGAGAGGGUGACCGGCCACAUUGGGACUGAGAUACGGCCCAGACUCCUACGGGAGGCAGCAGUGGGGAAUAUUGCACAAUGGGCGGAAGCCUGAUGCAGCAACGCCGCGUGCGGGAUGACGGCCUUCGGGUUGUAAACCGCUUUCGCCUGUGACGAAGCGUGAGUGACGGUAAUGGGUAAAGAAGCACCGGCUAACUACGUG